rnacentral:misc_RNA from 1 species
GAUGAAGAACAUAGCGAAAUGCGAUAAGUAAUGUGAAUUGCAGAAUUCAGUGAAUCAUCGAAUCUUUGAACGCACAUUGCGCCCAUUAGCAUUCUAGUGGGCAUGCCUGUUCGAGCGUCAUUUCAACCCUUAAGCCCUGUUGCUUAGCGUUGGGAGCCUACAGUACUGUAGCUCCCCAAAGUUAGUGGCGGAGUCGGUUUCACACUCUAGACGUAGUAAAUUUUUCUCGUCUGUAGUUGAGCCGGUCCCCUGCCGUAAAACACCCAAUUUAUCAAGGUUGACCUCGGAUCAGGUAGGAAUACCCGCUGAACUUAAGCAUAUCAAUAAGCGGAGGA